rnacentral:rRNA from 1 species
UACGGAGGGUGCAAACGUUGCUCGGAAUUAUUGGGCGUAAAGCGCACGUAGGCGGUCUGUUAAGUCAGAUGUGAAAGCCCCGGGCUCAACCUGGGAACUGCAUUUGAAACUGGCGGGCUUGAGUGUGGCAGAGGGGGGUGGAAUUCCGCGUGUAGCAGUGAAAUGCGUAGAGAUGCGGAGGAACACCGAUGGCGAAGGCAGCCCCCUGGGCCAACACUGACGCUCAGGCACGAAAGCGUGGGGAGCAAACAGG